CCCAACUAGCUACAACCUUGCAAAGUUGCCUUGCAAAGAGCCAUGGAAUUGCCCACUGUGUGCCAGGGACUCCCAGACGUUGGGAGAGGCUGCACCAAGAUUCAAACUCAGGACCUGACCACAAAUUCAUCUCUUUCUUACAUGGUGAGUAGCGAAUAAUAUCACAGUAAGGUAACUUUCUUGGAGUAU
rnacentral:lncRNA from 1 species